ACGAAAGUCGGGCUUAGUGAUCCGGUGGUUCCGCAUGGAAGGGCCAUCGCUCAACGGAUAAAAGCUACCCCGGGGAUAACAGGCUUAUCUCCCCCAAGAGUCCACAUCGACGGGGAGGUUUGGCACCUCGAUGUCGGCUCAUCGCAUCCUGGGGCUGUAGUCGGUCCCAAGGGUUGGGCUGUUCGCCCAUUAAAGCGGUACGCGAGCUGGGUUCAGAACGUCGUGAGACAGUUCGGUCCCUAUCCGUCGUGGGCGUAGGAAAUUUGAGAGGAGCUGUCCUUAGUACGAGAGGACCGGGAUGGACGCACCGCUGGUGUACCAGUUGUCUUGCCAAAGGCAUAGCUGGGUAGCUAUGUGCGGAAGGGAUAAGUGCUGAAAGCAUCUAAGCAUGAAGCCCCCCUCAAGAUGAGAUUUCCCUGUUACUUUGUAACGUAAGAUCCCUGAAAGAUGAUCAGGUUGAUAGGUCAGAGGUGGAAGCGCGGUGACGUGUGGAGCUGACUGAUACUAAUCGAUCGAGGACUUAACCAA
rnacentral:ncRNA from 1 species